rnacentral:lncRNA from 1 species
AGAAACGAAGAAAUGAGAGUCUCUGCUGGACCCUAAUGAAUCAGUAUGUGUGUACCCAUAUUACCACACCUGGAAAGAAACAAGAGUCUGCAGCAGUGCUGAAAACAUAAAAUAUGAAGAUGAAGUGCAUCACUUCCAGAGCCUCCUACUGGGCACGCAGCUCUGACACCUGCUGCAGUGCAGAAUCUGGGGUUACACUGCUGCCAAAUGGACCUGCACAGACAUAAUCACACACAAAUAAGACCAUAUACAUGAAGACAAAGACAUAUGAAGACCAC